CCUACGGGGUGCAGCAGUGGGGAAUAUUGGGCAAUGGGCGCAAGCCUGACCCAGCAACGCCGCGUGAAGGAAGAAGGCUUUCGGGUUGUAAACUUCUUUUGUCAGGGAAGAGUAGAAGACGGUACCUGACGAAUAAGCCACGGCUAACUACGUGCCAGCAGCCGCGGUAAUACGUAGGUGGCAAGCGUUGUCCGGAUUUACUGGGUGUAAAGGGCGUGUAGCCGGGUUGACAAGUCAGAUGUGAAAUCCUGCGGCUUAACCGCAGAACUGCAUUUGAAACUGUUGAUCUUGAGUACUGGAGAGGCAGACGGAAUUCCUAGUGUAGCGGUGAAAUGCGUAGAUAUUAGGAGGAACACCAGUGGCGAAGGCGGUCUGCUGGACAGCAACUGACGGUGAGGCGCGAAAGCGCGGGGAGCAAACAGGAUUAGAUACCCCAGUAGUC
rnacentral:rRNA from 1 species